rnacentral:rRNA from 1 species
GACGAACGCUGGCGACGUGCCUAAUACAUGCAAGUUGAGCGCUGAAGGUUGGUACUUGUACCAACUGGAUGAGCAGCGAACGGGUGAGUAACGCGUGGGGAAUCUGCCUUUGAGCGGGGGACAACAUUUGGAAACGAAUGCUAAUGCCGCAUAAAAACUUUAAACACAAGUUUUAAGUUUGAAAGAUGCAAUUGCAUCACUCAAAGAUGAUCCCGCGUUGUAUUAGCUAGUUGGUGAGGUAAAGGCUCACCAAGGCGAUGAUACAUAGCCGACCUGAGAGGGUGAUCGGCCACAUUGGGACUGAGACACGGCCCAAACUCCUACGGGAGGCAGCAGUAGGGAAUCUUCGGCAAUGGACGAAAGUCUGACCGAGCAACGCCGCGUGAGUGAAGAAGGUUUUCGGAUCGUAAAACUCUGUUGGUAGAGAAGAACGUUGGUGAGAGUGGAAAGCUCAUCAAGUGACGGUAACUACCCAGAAAGGGACGGCUAACUACGUG